rnacentral:rRNA from 1 species
GACAGAGGAUGCAAGCAUUAUCCGGAAUGAUUGGGCGUAAAGCGUCUGUAGGUGGCUUUUCAAGUCCGCCAUCAAGUCCCAGGGCUCAACCCUGGACAGGCGGUGGAAACUACCAAGCUGGAGUGCGGUAGGGGCAGAGGGAAUUUUCGGUGGAGCGGUGAAAUGCGUAGAGAUCGGAAAGAACACCAAUGGCGAAAGCACUCUGCUGGGCCGACACUGACACUGAGAGACGAAAGCUAGGGGAGCAAAUGGG